AAUAUUGGACAAUGGGCGAAAGCCUGAUCCAGCCAUGCCGCGUGUGUGAAGAAGGUCUUUGGAUUGUAAAGUCCUUUAGGUUGGGUGGAGGUGCAGUGAAUUACUACUUUGCUGUUUUGUCGUUCCCGACAGACUAAACACCGGCUAACUCUGUGCCAGCAGCCGCGGUAAUACAUAGGGUGCAAGCGUUAAUCGGAAGUACUGGGCGGAAAGCGGGCGUAGUUGGUUUGUUAAGUAGGAGGUGAGAUCCCCGGGCUCAACCUGGGAACUGCAUCCAAAACUGGCAAGCUAGAGUAUGGUAGAGGGUGGUGGAAUUUCCUGUGUUGCGGUGAAAUGCGUAGAUAGAGGAAGGAACACGAGUGGCGAAGGCGACCACCUGGACUGAUACUGACACUGAGGUGCGAAAGCGUGGGGAGCAAACA
rnacentral:rRNA from 1 species